rnacentral:lncRNA from 1 species
AGCACAUCCUUUGUACUCAUUUAGAAACGUAACUCUGAAUUUCUCUGUCUCUGCAAAGGGGUAAUUCCUGGGUGUUCUUCAGUGGUGAGUGAAGGCAUUUUUGCACAUGCUAUCGGAUGAACUGAGUCUAGAAUUUUGGUGAGAAUAGACCACUGGUUCCUUGGGUGAGAAUGAAGACUUGCAAAGAGCCUGAUGGUGAGGAUAAGAUUGCUUUGUGAGAAGUUUAUACAUCAGAGCAGUGGGAACAGAGCAGACAUAUUUGAUACCGAAAAAAGUGAACCCCAGGAGAGGGCUCCAAGCUUCAGCUCUUGUCUGAGACUGUCCUGCACUGUGGCUGUAUGAUUACCAUAGCCCUUGACUUCUGAAUGGCAAAUGGCACCUGAAAGAGAAAUCACUAAGUCACAGGGUCGGCUCCAUCCUACUCCUCUAUACUAUACAGAUGUCAGUCACCUUUUGUCCGUGACCUUGUGCCUCAGAUGGAGCUUUAAACGUCGUUGACUUUCUGCUUGCUUCUCUGCUUACUGAGAGAAUGUUGACUCUUCAGCCUUCUGCAGUGUUUGCCCCAAAACUGAUUGCUGGAUUCCUCACCUGUGGUGACCUUCCUGCUUCCUGCUUCCUGCUUCCUGCUUCCUGCUUCCUGCUUCCUGCUUCCUGCUUCCUGCUUCCUGCUUCAGACUGCAGAUAAAGCCACAAUGUAAGGUUCCAGGUGGCCACACUUAUUUGGAGACACCAUUUAACACGGUUCUGCUUCUACUUCCAUGAGAACCUAGUGAAGAAGACACAGCCAGAGCUUUGAUCAAAGAUUCCAAAUGCAAAUACAACUAACCACCCAACUGGUCCCAUCAGCCAAUGUAUCUCUUUGUUACCUCAAGGGAGAUUGAUUUACGCUUUCAUCAAUAAAUCUUCAUAUUUUCAA